UACCAGCACCCCGAGUGGUCGGGACGUUUAUUGGGCCUAAAGCAUCCGUAGCCGGUUCUACGAGUCUUCCGUUAAAUCCAACUGCUUAACAGGUGGGCUGCGGAAGAUACUAUAGAGCUAGGAGGCGGGAGAGGCAAGCGGUACUCGAUGGGUAGGGGUAAAAUCCGUUGAUCCAUUGAAGACCACCAGUGGCGAAGGCGGCUUGCCAGAACGCGCUCGACGGUGAGGGAUGAAAGCUGGGGGAGCAAACGGG
rnacentral:rRNA from 1 species